ACGCGUAGGGGGCGAGCGUUGUUCGGAAUCAUUGGGCGUAAAGGGCGUGCAGGCGGUCCUGCAAGUCCGGCGUGAAAGACCCCGGCCCAACCGGGGGGACGCGCUGGAAACUGCGGGGCUUGAGUACAGGAGGGGAUGCCGGAAUUCCAGGUGUAGGGGUGAAAUCUGUAGAUAUCUGGAAGAACACCAAUGGCGAAGGCAGGCAUCUGGCCAUGUUCGGACGGUGGGACGCGAAGGUGCGGGGAGCAAACAGGUUUAGAUACCCUGGUAGUCCGCACAGUAAACGAUGUGCACCAGGUGGCGGGGGGUCGACCCUCGGUACCGUAGCUAACGCAUUAAGUGCACCGCCUGGGGAGUAUGCUCGCAAGGGUGAAACUCAAAUGAAUUGACGGGG
rnacentral:rRNA from 1 species